GUCGCUUAUAUAUUUGGAAUAUGAUGUCGUAUUGUUUAUACGCUUUAAAAAUUUACAACUGCGUAACAAAAUACUUUACGUUGUAAGAGUUAUCUCCCCAAACACCGUUUUUCUUGUGGCCACUACUCCUUCGCAACCGUAAAGGAUUACGACAAAUUUAUUUUAUCAAAUUGCUCGUUACUUCUUCAGGAUUAGGAUAUUCAUUUGGACUGAAGCUAUCCGGAGACUCCAUAUGAGAGUUAUUUCCCCUUAUGCAUUUGAUAUAAGUGAUAUGCGUUUCUAACUGAUAAACCAUCAGUGAUAUAGGCCUAGGGUCUUUGGAAUUAAGUCCCUUGGUCCAAAAAAAUGAAAAUAAGGUCAAGGUCAAAGGUCAAAGUCAUAUUCUAAAUUUUGAUUUUGGCUUAUUUUUUCUCAUUUUCAACAACCGUGAAAGAUAAUGACAAAUUAUUUUUACUAAAUUGUGAGUUGCGACAUGUUGUAACUUAUAAAUUUUGGUUGGAAGGGUGCGUAAACAAUAAAUGAUAGUUUUCGCCCAUCUUAUAUUUAAAAUCAUGCCUAAAGUGAUAUAACUCAUUAACCAUACAUAUUACAGACCUAGGGUCUUUUGAUUUAAGGUCCUUGGUUUGUGACCUUGAAAUUGAGGUCAAGGUUAUAGGUUAAAAGGACGUUCUAGAUUUUGACCUUUGCUUUGAAUUCAUAUAAAUACAUCAUAAAGCCAUAGAGACUAACAUUUUAAACUGAUUUUUCAUAUUUCAAUAUCAAAAUAGAUCUUUACUAGUGGAAAGACCUUCAAUUGUUCUCUGAACAAUUGGUUUUU
rnacentral:lncRNA from 1 species